UGCUUCUUAGUUUAUAAUAGAACGAUUAAUUUGCAUUUAAAGAGAGAAACCUUCAGUAGCAU
rnacentral:tRNA from 1 species